rnacentral:rRNA from 1 species
GACGUAGGGGGCCAGCGUUGUUCGGAAUUACUGGGUGUAAAGGGUUCGUAGGCGGUGUGGCAAGUCGGGAGUGAAAUCUCUGGGCUCAACUCAGAGACUGCUUCCGAAACUGCUGUGCUGGAGUGUGGGAGAGGCGCGUGGAAUUGCAGGUGUAGCGGUGAAAUGCGUAGAUAUCGGGAGGAACACCUGUGGCGAAAGCGGCUCACUGGACCGCAACUGACGCUGAGGCGCGAAAGCUAGGGGAGCAAACAGG